rnacentral:rRNA from 1 species
GACGAACGCUGGCGGCGUGCUUAACACAUGCAAGUCGAACGGAAAGGCCCUGCUUGCAGGGUACUCGAGUGGCGAACGGGUGAGUAACACGUGGAUGAUCUGCCCUGCACUUCGGGAUAAGCCUGGGAAACUGGGUCUAAUACCGGAUAGGAGCCAUUUUUAGUGUGAUGGUUGGAAAGUUUUUUCGGUGUUGGAUGAGCUCGCUGCCUAUCAGCUUGUUGGUGGGGUAAUGGCCUACCAAGGCGGCGACGGGUAGCCGGCCUGAGAGGGUGGACGGCCACAUUGGGACUGAGAUACGGCCCAGACUCCGACGGGAGGCAGCAGUGGGGAAGAUUGCACAAUGGGCGCAAGCCUGAUGCAGCGACGCCGCGGGGGGGAUGACGGCCUUCGGGUUGUAAACUCAUUUCGCUAGGGACGAAGCUUUUUGUGACGGUACCUAGAUAAGAAGCACCGGCUAACUACGUG